CUCAACUUGCAUGGACUUUCAUGCUGAGGAAGGUGUUCAAUAACUUACAGACCAGAGUGACUUAAAGAAGACUUUUUAUUGACUUAGAAGAAGGAUCAAUGCUACUCAGUGCUGUAAAAAUAGAGCUGCUCAGUCUUUAGAACUGUCAGUCCAUCAUUUGUAACCAGUACUGCGUUCAUUUUAUGAAAUUAAAGACAUAGAUGAAUUAAGUUGCUUUGGAAAAAAGAUCAAGUGUCCUUUCCUAGGCUAUGGACUGUGUCUGCUUUUAUUCCCAUUAUGCAUCUUUUAAAUAGAGAUUUAUUUAACUGAUACAUCUUAUUCCUGGACUCAUUCCUGGUGUGCUGCUCAGAAGGCAGCAUGCUAUCGACUUUGCUGCUACUCGGAUUGUUUUUUUCAGGGAGUGUAUUGUACGCAGAUAAGUUACUCAUUGCAGAAACACUUCUGCAAUAUAGAGACCUGUAGAAAUACAGAGGCAUAGAAAAUGAGAUGCAAAUGAAAUGAAACUGGUUUAAAGAAAUGUGCAUACAUUUUGCAGUGACCCACAACCCUAGAGACUGUGUACUUAAUGGUAUGCUGGCUCAGUAGUUUGCAAGUCAGUGAAAGGAACUUGAGAAGCAGGCAUGUUCAAAAGAGGUACAAUCCCAUUUGGAAAUGGUACGAUGCUAGGGGAACUAUCUUUACCUUUUUGAACAUGACCUCAUUUUAUGGCAAUGGGGAGAAACUGCAAAAAUAUUUCACAUUUACAAGGUGAUUUCACCUGUAGUACUCAAGAAGCUCUAUGAAAUGGGGAGGAUUCUUCCUGUUUUACAGAAGGUAUACUUCCAAAUGAAAUGUUGCAUUGAAAUAAAAA